rnacentral:rRNA from 1 species
AUGAACGCUGGCGGCAUGCCUAAUACAUGCAAGUCGAACGAAGAAAUGUUGCUUGAAGGUGCUUGCACCGGAUAGUUGCUUUCUUAGUGGCGAACGGGUGAGUAACACGUAGGUAACCUGCCUAGUAGUUGGGAAUAACAAUGGGAAACCGUUGCUAAUACCGAAUAUGAAUUCGAAGGGCAUCCUUUGAAUUUGAAAGGGGCUUUCAAGCCUCGCUAUUAGAUGGACCUGCGGCGCAUUAGCUAGUUGGUGAGAUAACAGCUCACCAAGGCGAGGAUACGUAGCCGACCUGAGAGGGUGAUCGGCCACAAUGGGACUGAGACACGGCCCAUACUCCUACGGGAGGCAGCAGUAGGGAGUUUUCGGCAAUGGGGGAACCCUGACCGAGCAAUGCCGCGUGAGUUAUUGAAGGUCUUAUGGAUCGUAAGGCUCUGUUGUAGGGGAUGAAACGUCUAGGGAGGAAAUGUCCUAGACUUGACAGUACCUUACCAGAAAGCCACGGCUAACUACGUGCCAGCAGCUGC